rnacentral:rRNA from 1 species
UACGAAGGGGGCUAGCGUUGUUCGGAAUCACUGGGCGUAAAGCGCACGCAGGCGGAUUGAUAAGUCAGGGGUGAAAUCCCGGGGCUCAACCUCGGAAUUGCCUUUGAUACUGUCUGUCUUGAGUCCGGGAGAGGUGAGUGGAAUUCCUAGUGUAGAGGUGAAAUGCGUAGAUAUCUGGAGGAAUACCGGUGGCGAAGGCGGCAUCCUGGACCGACAUUGACGCUGAGGAGCGAAAGCUAGGGGAGCAAACGGG